UACGUAGGGCGCAAGCGUUAUCCGGAAUUAUUGGGCGUAAAGAGCUUGUAGGCGGUUUGUCGCGUCUGCUGUGAAAAUCCGGGGCUCAACCCCGGACUUGCAGUGGGUACGGGCAGACUAGAGUGUGGUAGGGGAGACUGGAAUUCCUGGUGUAGCGGUGAAAUGCGCAGAUAUCAGGAGGAACACCGAUGGCGAAGGCAGGUCUCUGGGCCACUACUGACGCUGAGGAGCGAAAGCGUGGGGAGCAAACAGG
rnacentral:rRNA from 1 species